UACGAAGGGGGCUAGCGUUGCUCGGAAUCACUGGGCGUAAAGGGUGCGUAGGCGGCGCUUUAAGUCAGGGGUGAAAUUCUGGAGCUCAACUCCAGAACUGCCUUUGAUACUGAGGAUCUUGAGUUCGGGAGAGGUGAGUGGAACUGCGAGUGUAGAGGUGAAAUUCGUAGAUAUUCGCAAGAACACCAGUGGCGAAGGCGGCUCACUGGCCCGAUACUGACGCUGAGGCACGAAAGCGUGGGGAGCAAACAGG
rnacentral:rRNA from 1 species